rnacentral:tRNA from 1 species
GAAAUAUUUUAAAUUUCAAGCUUCUAACUUGAAUAAAGUGAAUUAAUCAUUGUUAUUUCU